GAAAGUCACUCCAAGUCGGAUCGGGUGUCAAAUACAACGUCCCAAGUAUAUCAGUAAUUAUCUUUGUAACCAUCCUAUUAGGAAUAAACCUGCAAUAUUGCAAUUACAUUAAAUAAAUAAGAGUAGCUUUUAUAAUUCUGCUAAAAUAAAGAAGUAAUAAAUAAAUCUUACCCAUUGACCUUAGGCCUGAUGAUCAACCUAUGGUAAUGAUCAUCCGCAUCAUCUGAAGCAUGCGCAGAAGAGGGGGCAUAUGGCUCAGUGCUACUAUCCCGAACACGAUGUCUAGAAAUGCUAGGAGAUGAAUUCUGUGAAGAGGGAGACGGGGUCCCUAAUGAAGAUGACUGCGAU
rnacentral:lncRNA from 1 species